GCGCUCGUGGUAUAACGGUCAGUAUUCUCGCCUUCCAAGCGAGCGGCCCGGGUUCGACUCCCGGCGAGCGCA